AUUCAAAAAUACACAAAAAUAAUAACCAAAACCUAGACUCUAUAUAAAGAGAACAACCUAAAAAAUCAAGAGGCAGCCGUUUCAAAGAGGAUCAGUGAAAAUACAUACAAUUAGCGAAAACGACACACAAAAAGCCAUAAGAAAAGGCUGACAGAGGACCUAAAGCUGACAGCUGCAGAUCGGACCUACCACCCAUUCCAUCUCCUGAUCUUCUUAUUCAUAGAAUAAGCGACCUGCUGCCAUGGCUUCCUAGCCAAAAACGCAGCCGGAAAUCACCAGCAAAACAACUUCAAAAUCAGUCCAAACUCAGUUCUGAAACCGUCUUCGAAGUGAGGCGAUGUUCGAGUUCGCCGGUCCGAGGUUCCGACGAGGUCGUUUGAAGUUUCCGGUCUAUUUUCGGUCAAAGUUUUCAGCUUUCUCGGUUUGAGCUCAUCGGCCGUUGAUUUUAGAUGCUGUAAAUUUUAAGCAAAUGAAAGAACUUUAUUUCACUCAAAGGUUCAUUUUCUUCACCUUCCUCUAUGAACCUCUAUUUCUUAACUGUUGUUGCUCAUUAGUUAGAUAUUUUCUUUUAUGAUUUGUCAAGAUAUUAUUUUCCUGGUUAUUCCCCUUCAAUUGCUUUGUUUGUUCUUUUGAUUUACUUGGUGUAUUUGAAGCUAGAUUAACGAAUGCUCGAGACUGUGAGUUGUUCACCUACAUGCUAAAUGCGAGCAUGAUAUUUCCAUAGCUUAAUAAUUCUCUUCUCUAACCCAUUUGAUGUUAUCUUUCCUGAUUAUUGAUAGAGCUAUUGUGUUAUUUGAUAUUUGAGAGAAUCAGAAUGAGGGAUUUUAAUUUAAUUUGGGGAGUAGGAUGGGCAGACUCUUUUAAAGAUAAUCUGUUGGGUCCUGGAUAAACUAGAUAAGGAUUCGGGCUUAAGUCACUUUGGUUGGUUAGCAUUUUAAGGGCUUCAAGGCAUGAACGUAUUAAUCAAAACUUUUCUCCUUUCUCUUUCCUCCAUAACGAAUAAUUUCAAAUAGCCAAACCAUAAUGUAGCCUCCAACUCAUCCCAGGUCCAUGAUCCAUGACCGUAAUAAUCUCAAAGUUAUUUUUUAGGAAGAAACAAUUCAAUUAUGAACACGCGCAAGUUGCUUUAGGCGCGCUACUUAAAUUAAUUUUCCUAAACUCGGGUGUGCAUUUCGUGUGACCCAACUUCAAUUCUCGACAACGUUAAAUAAAAUAUAUCGUGGACCGCGGGUGCAUUUCAUGUGGCGUGGUUCAAGGCGUGUUUUAAAUAACGUUGAAUCUUCCUGAAAAUAAUUAAAAGCGGUUAAUAAGUUAAAAUUUGCACAUAGGUUCAUAAUUGUUUAAAAUCAGAUAAUUAAGCUGAAUAUAACAGUUGAACGACUGUGCUAGAACCACGGAACUCGGGAAUUCCUAACACCUUCUCCCGGGUUAACAGAAUUCCUUACCCGAAUUCUGGUUCGCGGACUGUAAUAUAGAGUCAAUCUUUUCCUCGAUUCGGGAUUUGAACCGUGUGACUUGGGACACUAUAAAUUAUCCCAAGUGGCGACUCUGAUUUUAAAUAAAAUAAUCUUGUUUCGAUUGUCACUUUAACUUGGAAAAACUCUCUUAUACACUCCCUCCCGGGGUGUAGGAAAAAAGGAGGUGUGACAGCUCUGGCGACUCUGCUGGGGAUCGAACCUAGAAUCUCUGGUUCAGGGUUCAAGAAUUCGAGCUUAGAAUAAUUGUUAUAGUUGGCUUUGUCCAUUAUCUGAUUUUGUUACAUAGUUUGGGCCUAAUGUGCUAAUUGAUUGCUUUUACCGCUUUGAUAUUCCGUGAACUGUAUAUAAACUGUUGCGAAAUCCCUCCUCUCUCUGAGUCUUCUAAAUCAUGAAGAAGUGUGCACUUCGUGUGACUUCUUUUCUGUUAGAGUCAUAUCCCAAAUUUAGAACGAGGUUCGGACAAGUUGCAAAUCCAGUGAAGCUUCUGUAUUCCCGGUACGCUGCCUCCCCGAGCUGUCUGCUCGGGUAAGCCAGGUCUAGAACAAUAAACCCAGGUUUUGAACCUAGUAUAACAAGACCUCAUGCCGGAUCCCUAGUAGGAACGUUUGCUUGCAUCAUGUGCAUUUGACUUAGGGGACUCAACACAGGGGUUGGGUCCGUCUAGGACAGGUGUGCCCGAAAUAACAGACCAUCUUGGUGCAUCCUAUGUGCUAUAUGUUGCAUUUCUUCUAGGGUAAAAGGGUUAUUUGGCGGACCAAUGAUAGUUGUGGGCAACUGAAAAAAUGAAAAAAGAAAAGAAAAAGAUAGGGUGAAGUGUGAAGAUAAAGCGAAUAGGGCCCAAUUAUGUUUUCUGUCACAUUUUUGUUAAAAAAAGGCUUGAAAAUUCCAAAAAAAAAAAGAUUUUUCACUUUUUCAUCAUUUUCCGAAAAUCAAAAAUCAAAAAAAGAAGGAAAAAUAAAAUCAAAAAAAAGAUGUUGCAUGUUUCAUCAUUUUCAGGGAAAAGGCAAAAAAUAUAUUUUUCUCUAAAUUAGUUUUUUUUUUUAAUUCUCGCUCGUAUCCAAUCUGCCCGAACUACGUAUAUCUAAUUCUCGUCUUUCGGGGCGUGAUACGUAGGGAACCCACAUAGGGUCCGGUCUUCCUAGUAAAUCUUAGGUUUUUGGCUUUGCGGGGUCUUAGACAAUUUUUGCACUUCUAACCACUUUUUGGCCAAAUAAGUCAUUUUGCAAAAAUAGCCUCAAUCAUGUCUUGCAUGUGUCUUAGGGAAUGUUAUUGUCUCACAUAGUGCUAGUUUAAGUUUUCUCAUACAGGUGUGGAUGUACUUACUGGAGUUUGAGCAUGACAGAUACCCCAUGAUCACUGCAUCCAGGAGUUGCUCGAGGAGCCAUUUUAUGUUUUUGAGUCAAUUGUUUUUAUUUUAUUUUCUAGUCCUAGUAGUAUUUAGUCUUUUAGGUGAUGUUAGAGUUUGCAAUAGUCAGGUUAAGUUUGCCGAGUCUUUUGUUAUUGUAUUUCUUAUUUUGUAUGUGGAAAUGUGUUACGAGUCGAAAAUCCAAAAAAAGAAGAAAUUUUGCGUUUUUGUUAUAAGAAAUAAAAAAAAAUUCUCCUUUGAGAUUUUUUUACUAUAGGUAAUUAAUAUCUAGGACUUAAA
rnacentral:lncRNA from 1 species